rnacentral:rRNA from 1 species
UACGGAGGGUGCAAGCGUUAUCCGGAAUCACUGGGUUUAAAGGGUGCGUAGGCGGUUCGAUAAGUCAGAGGUGAAAGCUAGCAGCUUAACUGUUAAAUUGCCUUUGAUACUGUCGAACUUGAAUCAUGUUGAGGUAAGCAGAAUGUGACAUGUAGCGGUGAAAUGCAUAGAUAUGUCAUAGAAUACCAAUUGCGAAGGCAGCUUGCUGGGCAUUGAUUGACGCUGAGGCACGAAAGCGUGGGGAUCAAACAGG